UACAGAGGGUGCGAGCGUUAAUCGGAGUGACUGGGCGUAAAGGGCCCGUAGGCGGAAGAUUAAGUUAGAUGUGAAAGACUGGGGCUUAACCUCGGGAUUGCAUUUGAUACUGGUCAUCUAGAGUAUCGGAGAGGGAAGGAGAAUUACUGGAGUAGCGGUGAAAUGCGUAGAUAUCAGUAGGAAUACCGAUGGCGAAGGCACCUUCCUGGCCGAUGACUGACGCUGAGGGGCGAAAGCUCGGGUAGCGAACAGG
rnacentral:misc_RNA from 1 species